rnacentral:rRNA from 1 species
GACGGGGGCCCGCACAAGCAGCGGAGCAUGUGGUUUAAUUCGACGCAACGCGAAGAACCUUACCAGGUCUUGACAUCCAGUAAAAGCCAUAGAGAUAUGGUGUGUCUUCGGACAUACUGAGACAGGUGGUGCAUGGUUGUCGUCAGCUCGUGUCGUGAGAUGUUGGGUUAAGUCCCGCAACGAGCGCAACCCUUGCUGAUAGUUACUAACAGGUAAAGCUGAGGACUCUAUUAGGACUGCCGGGGACAACUCGGAGGAAGGUGGGGACGACGUCAAAUCAUCAUGCCCCUUAUGACCUGGGCUACACACGUGCUACAAUGGCCGUUACAAAGAGGUGCAAAGCCGCAAGGUGGAGCAGAUCUCAAAAAAGCGGUCUCAGUUCGGAUUGUGGGCUGCAACCCGCCCACAUGAAGUCGGAGUUGCUAGUAAUCGCGGAUCAGCAUGCCGCGGUGAAUACGUUCCCGGGCCUUGUACACACCGCCCGUCACACCAUGGGAGUUGGUAGCACCCGAAACUGGUGAGGUAACCGCAAGGAGCCAGCCAGCUAAGGUGAGACCAAUGACUGGGGUGAAGUCGUAACAAGGUAGCCGU